GUGCCAGCCGCCGCGGUAAUACAGAGGUCUCGAGCGUUAAUCGGAGUCACUGGGCUUAAAGGGUGCGUAGGCGGGUCCACAAGUGCUUUGUGAAAUCCCACGGCUCAACCGUGGAAUUGCUCGGCAGACUGUGGAUCUUGAGGUCGGUAGGGGCUGCUGGAACUCUAGGUGGAGCGGUGAAAUGCGUAGAUAUCUAGAGGAACGCCAAAGGUGAAGACAGGCAGCUGGGCCGAUUCUGACGCUGAGGCACGAAAGCGUGGGUAGCAAACGGGAUUAGAAACCCCUGUAGUCC
rnacentral:rRNA from 1 species